CGGGCGGGCAGCUUACACAUGCAGUCCGAACGAUGACUUCUCUUCGCUUGCUUAGAUAUGAUUUAGUGGCGGACGGGUGAAGUAACAUUUAGGAAUCUGCCUAGUAGUGGGGGAUAGCUCGGGGAAACUCGAAUUAAUACCGCAUACGACCUACGGGUGAAAGGGGGCGCAAGCUCUUGCUAUUAGAUGAGCCUAAAUCAGAUUAGCUAGUUGGUGGGGUAAAGGCCCACCAAGGCGACGAUCUGUAACUGGUCUGAGAGGAUGAUCAGUCACACCGGAACUGAGACACGGUCCGGACUCCUACGGGAGGCAGCAGUGGGGAAUAUUGGACAAUGGGGGCAACCCUGAUCCAGCCAUGCCGCGUGUGUGAAGAAGGCCUUUUGGUUGUAAAGCACUUUAAGCAGGGAGGAGAGGCUAAUGGUUAAUACCCAUUAGAUUAGACGUUACCUGCAGAAUAAGCACCGGCUAACUCUGUGCCAGCAGCCGCGGUAAUACAGAGGGUGCGAGCGUUAAUCGGAAUUACUGGGCGUAAAGCGAGUGUAGGUGGCUCAUUAAGUCACAUGUGAAAUCCCCGGGCUUAACCUGGGAACUGCAUGUGAUACUGGUGGUGCUAGAAUAUGUGAGAGGGAAGUAGAAUUCCAGGUGUAGCGGUGAAAUGCGUAGAGAUCUGGAGGAAUACCGAUGGCGAAGGCAGCUUCCUGGCAUAAUAUUGACACUGAGAUUCGAAAGCGUGGGUAGCAAACAGGAUUAGAUACCCUGGUAGUCCACGCCGUAAACGAUGUCUACUAGCCGUUGGGGUCCUUGAGACUUUAGUGGCGCAGUUAACGCGAUAAGUAGACCGCCUGGGGAGUACGGCCGCAAGGUUAAAACUCAAAUGAAUUGACGGGGGCCCGCACAAGCGGUGGAGCAUGUGGUUUAAUUCGAUGCAACGCGAAGAACCUUACCUGGUCUUGACAUAGUGAGAAUCCUGCAGAGAUGCGGGAGUGCCUUCGGGAAUUCACAUACAGGUGCUGCAUGGCUGUCGUCAGCUCGUGUCGUGAGAUGUUGGGUUAAGUCCCGCAACGAGCGCAACCCUUUUCCUUAUUUGCCAGCGGGUUAAGCCGGGAACUUUAAGGAUACUGCCAGUGACAAACUGGAGGAAGGCGGGGACGACGUCAAGUCAUCAUGGCCCUUACGACCAGGGCUACACACGUGCUACAAUGGUAGGUACAGAGGGUUGCUACACAGCGAUGUGAUGCUAAUCUCAAAAAGCCUAUCGUAGUCCGGAUUGGAGUCUGCAACUCGACUCCAUGAAGUCGGAAUCGCUAGUAAUCGCAGAUCAGAAUGCUGCGGUGAAUACGUUCCCGGGCCUUGUACACACCGCCCGUCACACCAUGGGAGUCUAUUGCACCAGGAAAGUAAGGUAAGCCUAACGCAAGGAGGGCGCUACCACGUUCCU
rnacentral:rRNA from 1 species